GCCCUGUCGUGGAGUUUCUCCCCUGUGUUGUCCCUCUGCCAUGCCACCCUGCCUUCGAGCCAGCUGAGUAUGGAUUGAAAUCUCUACAAACUAAAUAUCAAAAGUCCAAAUUGCCCAGAACCUCAACCCUUCUAGUCAACCAAGAUGUCUGAAAUCCCCACCAUGACUCAGUUCUUUCUCUUAAGAAUAUCUGGAAACCCACUGGUAUAGAAGAUGAAUUUUAAGAUCUUGCUUGGACAAUGAUUAGCAAGGAGCAAAAUGGUUUGGUGGAGGGGAAGGCCAGUGGUGCUGAGAGCUGCGCUCGUGACAGACGCUCCAAACUGAAUGUUCCAAACUUAUUGAUGAGCUCUGACGCAGGCUUGACUUGAGCAAGCACAGCACAGAUAGAGACAUUUUCCAGCAAUUAAAUGAAGCAAGCUACUGAGUUGGGCUGAUUUCUCUUAUCAACUAAGAGGACCCAGAUAUGAGAUGGAGGUAUUUCUGAAGUAUCUGUUGAGACAGAAAGACUUAUUUUUCAAGAACUGAAAGCUCUGGCCAAUUUUUGCAGAUAUUGAAGAAGCUGAAAGACACUCUCUUCUUGAGUACUUGAGGAUGAGCUGGUAGGAGCUCAGUCCUGAAAUGGAAGAUGAAAGACUCCACUGUUGAUAAAAACAACCCGUGAAAAAGGGCCGCCAAACAGUAUGCUGUUUUCUCCAGCCUACCAGAACUUUAAUUCCAAAAUCCAGUUGUCACAGUUAGAUGAAGUCACACUUCUAGUAUACUUGCUUUGUAUUCUGAUUCCUAUUCAACAUGUGGAAGGAUUUAGAAAUAUGUGACAAAGGAGCAUCACUGGAGAAAAGGCUGCCUCUAAAACUGGCUGGCUUGUUCACAUAAAUUGCCUGUGCAAUACGCCAUCACAAUGUAUGAGUUUUUUAUUUUUAAUUUUUAUUAGUGCAUGUUUGCAAAAAAUAAUUAUAUUCAUUGUAGGGAAUGGGUACAUGUACAUAAUAUAUCUCAAUUCUUUUUAUUUUCUCCUUUAAUGCACCCACUUUUAUUUUCCCAUCAUCAGAUUCAUUUAUUUAUCUUAUAAGCCACUAUAAAAUUAAUUAUUGUAUAUGCAGGUUAACAAACAGAUAGUAGAGCCAAAACAUAUAAAUCACAUAAGGCAACUAUACUAAAUCAUAGUACACUUUUAGAUACAUCAUUCACACUGGAUAAAAAUAACUUUUUUUCCUCUUUUAUCUGUGUAUUAUUUGUUUUUUCACACUUUUCAUAUUGAGUUUUUCAUAUAAAAGAAACCAUGCUAUAUUUAAGCUUAUGUGUCUUAUUUACAAAUGCCUCAUUUAUGACUUUUUAAAAAGCAGGAAUGAUAGUAUCUGUAAUAGCUGACAGAAACUGAAAAGAAAAGAAAAAGAGGAAGAAGAAAGAUUAAGAAUAGUAGGAGAUAGGUGUAGGAGAAGAAGAAAAAGAGGAAGAACUUUAAGCUUCUGUAAAUUACUGUUAAGUUGGAAAUUGAUACACACAUGUUUAUAACAUAUUGUGUUAUAAAGGAAAUAAUGAAACCAAUGUUCCAGGGUAUAAAAGUGUGACAAGUAUAGUAUAGAUUUAUGAAAUAGCCCAAAAUAAUGAACAAAAUAUUAAAAAAAUAUGACCUUCAUUGCAUUUAUUAGAAAAUAAACCUGACAACAUCUUAGCAUCUCUGGAUAGUUAUGAAAACCUAGCAAAUCAUCUGACUCAUGUAUUCCCAUGUGAGUUUGUUUAAUUAUUUUGUGAUCCAUGAAUUUAGUUAAGUACUUUAUAAAGAGCAGAGUUAUCAGCUUAUCUACAAUAUUGCAUGACAUUUUCUUUGAAUGUUUCCUUCCAUUUCUGAACCUUCAAUAAACUUGGUGUAUUUUAGACAUAUUGUUAUAUUGAAAGUGCAGGCCAGGUGUGCUGGUGCACACUGUAAUCACAGCACUCCAGAGGCUGACACGAGGAUUGCUGUAAGUUCGAGGCUAGCUUAGGCUACAAGUUCAAAGUUGGGCUAGUGAGUUCAAGGCCAGUCUAAACUGCAUAGUGAGAACCUGUCUCAAAAAAACAAAAACCAACAAACAAAUAAAGAAUUGCAACAAGUGAACAAGUGAACAUCUGGAGCUGGAUGUUAAUUUUUUAGAGUCCAAAUGCAUCCUAAUCUUGCGAACACUUUUCUUCAUUUGCAGAAUAAUAAACAAAGGAUGUUCAUUUUCCUUCACCUUUAUUGUUGUUAAUAUAUUAUGCAUACAUCAACUUUCUUAC
ensembl:lncRNA